rnacentral:rRNA from 1 species
AUUGAACGCUGGCGGCAGGCCUAACACAUGCAAGUCGAGCGGAUGAAGGGAGCUUGCUCCUGGAUUCAGCGGCGGACGGGUGAGUAAUGCCUAGGAAUCUGCCUGGUAGUGGGGGAUAACGUCCGGAAACGGGCGCUAAUACCGCAUACGUCCUGAGGGAGAAAGUGGGGGAUCUUCGGACCUCACGCUAUCAGAUGAGCCUAGGUCGGAUUAGCUAGUUGGUGGGGUAAAGGCCUACCAAGGCGACGAUCCGUAACUGGUCUGAGAGGAUGAUCAGUCACACUGGAACUGAGACACGGUCCAGACUCCUACGGGAGGCAGCAGUGGGGAAUAUUGGACAAUGGGCGAAAGCCCGAUCCAGCCAUGCCGCGUGUGUGAAGAAGAUCUUCGGAUUGUAAAGCACUUUAAGUUGGGAGGAAGGGCAGUAAGUUAAUACCUUGCUGUUUUGACGUUACCAACAGAAUAAGCACCGGCUAACUUCGUG